UAAUACGAAGGGACCUAGCGUAGUUCGGAAUUACUGGGCUUAAAGAGUUCGUAGGUGGUUAAAAAAGUUGGUGGUGAAAUCCCAGAGCUUAACUCUGGAACUGCCAUCAAAACUUUUUAGCUAGAGUAUGAUAGAGGAAAGCAGAAUUUCUAGUGUAGAGGUGAAAUUCGUAGAUAUUAGAAAGAAUACCAAUUGCGAAGGCAGCUUUCUGGAUCAUUACUGACACUGAGGAACGAAAGCAUGGGUAGCGAAGAGGAUUAGAUACCCUCGUAGUCCAUGCCGUAAACGAUGUGUGUUAGAUGUUGGAAAUUUAUUUUCAGUAUCGCAGCGAAAGCAAUAAACACACCGCCUGGGGAGUACGACCGCAAGGUUA
rnacentral:rRNA from 1 species